rnacentral:lncRNA from 1 species
GUGAUUCUCUUCCCUCAGCCUCCCGAGUAGCUGGUAUUUCAGGUUUUCUAAUGUAAAUCAAUGGCAUUGAAGUCCAAAAUUAAUGGCUUCCCUGUAUUCAUCCCCUUUGCAAAGUGACCUUGCAUAUUCUUCCAUCAAGAGGUUGUCAUACUUUGUCUAAAACAAAAGGAUUAUACUGCCCAGCAUUCUUCACUGUCAGGAUGGCCAAUGGGAUGAAAUGAGAAUUUACUUGGUGAGAUUCCUAAAAAUGGAAUUUAAAAGAGGAAGGAACUCAGCUUGCAUAUGCCUUUCACCCUUCAGUGUUCACCUCUUCCCUGCUCUAGGACACGAACACAAUGCAGGUUGUAAAGCAGCCAUGUUAUGAGAAUGAGCUAACAAGCAAAAGCAAACAUGAGGACAAUGAAAUAGAAGACUGGAAUGAGCCUCGUUCCCCAAUGGCAUCGUAGAGUUGCUAAAUUAGCCCUAGAUUUCCUGAUCAGAACCUCUUGUUAUGUAUGCAAAAGAUACCCAAAUUUGUUUAAGCCACUGUUACAUUUUUUGGGAGGUGAGGGGUAGUUUCUGUUAUUCAUAGCUGAAUGCAUCCUUCAACCAAUAUAAAGUUUUUGGAUAUCACUGUCUACCAAAUGUUUUCAUGGACCAUCAGUGGUGACUCUUGCAUUUUUAGGUGUCUAGGUGAUUGCCCACAUUACAAGCCCUGGUUUACCAACCAAUAAAAUGUGUGGCGGUUCAACCUCAUAAUUCAGUCCUGUCACGCCUUAUAGACCUUUUCCCCAUCAAUUUUAUGUAUCUCAUCCUAAAUUAACUUGAAGACACAGGUGUAAGAUAAAUAUGAGGGGCUGGCGAAAUCUCUUCUUGUAGAGUGUGGAAAAACUUCUCCUAAGGAAUGCUCAGUAUAUUGACGGAUGCUCAGUGGUGCCCCAGGGAUACACAGAGUUGAAGUUUCUGAUGUCAUUCACCUCAAAACCAGCUUUCUGCCACUGCUUUAGUGGCAUCUGUGUGUCAUUUAAAUGUAGAAUUGCGGCUUUUUCACACCUGCUUUUCCCAUUUUCAAGAAGUCUUGGUUAUAAAACUAGAGAAUCAGCUGGCCCUUCCAUAUGUAAGUGAAAGUUUUCAUCUUUUACUAAUUAGAAGAUAACCUAGAUUCAUUACUUUUUUAUUCAUCUUUCUUUUUAG